rnacentral:rRNA from 1 species
UAGUCCUACGGGGCGCAGCAGUGAGGAAUAUUGGUCAAUGGGCUUACGCCUGAACCAGCCAAGUCGCGUGAGGGAAGACUGCCCUAUGGGUUGUAAACCUCUUUUGUCAGGGAGCAACGCCGGCUACGUGUAGCCGGACUGAGAGUACCUGAAGAAAAAGCAUCGGCUAACUCCGUGCCAGCAGCCGCGGUAAUACGUAUGGAGCAAGCGUUAUCCGGAUUUACUGGGUGUAAAGGGAGCGCAGGCGGUCCGGCAAGUCUGAUGUGAAAGGCGGGGGCUCAACCCCCGGACUGCAUUGG